UAAAGAAGUGGUGAUCCUACUCUGCCUCUGCACAGAGAAAGACAUUACUGUAUACUCUGCCUCAGUCAUGUAUCAAUCAGUAAGUGGAAUUCUCUCUCCCAUCCCUCUGGGAAGUGAGCAAAGGACUAUGUGGUGCUCCACAACAUGCAGGGUUAAACCACAACGGAACUUUCUGUGGAAAAAAAACUGAAUCAGAAGAAAACAUUGUGAUAUGCUAUUGCUUGGCUUCAUAAAGAAAUAAUCCUGAAUAACUUCUCAAAGGAACUGCAAAACAUGUACUUGAUUUUUAUGAAGUGUUACCCACAAUUUAUUUUCAUUCUUUAGUAA